ensembl:misc_RNA Metazoa_SRP Metazoan signal recognition particle RNA
GCCGGGUGUGGUGGUGCACGCCUGUAAUCCCAGCUACUCAGGAGGCUGAGGCAGGAGAAUCACUUGAACCCGGGAGAUGGAGGUUGCAGUGAAUUGAGAUCACACCAUUGCACUCCAGCCUGGGCGACAGAGCGAGACUCUGCCUCAA